AGAGUUUGAUCCUGGCUCAGAACGAACGCUGGCGGCAUGCCUAACACAUGCAAGUCGAACGCUAUCUUUGAUAGAGUGGCGCACGGGUGAGUAACGCGUGGGAACCUGCCUUUCUCUGCGGGACAACGGUUGGAAACGACCGCUAAUACCGCAUACGCCCUACGGGGGAAAGGUCUGCCGGAGAAAGAGGGGCCCGCGUUCGAUUAGCUAGUUGGUGGGGUAAUGGCCUACCAAGGCGACGAUCGAUAGCUGGUCUGAGAGGAUGAUCAGCCACACUGGGACUGAGACACGGCCCAGACUCCUACGGGAGGCAGCAGUGGGGAAUAUUGGACAAUGGGGGCAACCCUGAUCCAGCGAUGCCGCGUGAGUGAUGAAGGCCUUCGGGUUGUAAAACUCUUUCGUCAGGGAAGAUAAUGACGGUACCUGAAGAAGAAGAUCCGGCUAACUCCGUGCCAGCAGCCGCGGUAAUACGGAGGGAUCUAGCGUUAUUCGGAAUUACUGGGCGUAAAGCGAGCGUAGGCGGAUUUGUAAGUUGGAGGUGAAAUCCCAGAGCUUAACUCUGGAACUGCCUUCAAAACUACAUUUCUUGAGUUUGGUAGAGGAGAGUGGAAUUCCUAGUGUAGAGGUGAAAUUCGUAGAUAUUAGGAGGAACACCAGUGGCGAAGGCGACUCUCUGGGCCAAUACUGACGCUGAGGUUCGAAAGCGUGGGUAGCGAACAGGAUUAGAUACCCUGGUAGUCCACGCAGUAAACGAUGAGUGCUAGAUGUUGGGAAUUUAAAUUUCCAGUAUCGCAGUUAACGCGUUAAGCACUCCGCCUGGGAAGUACGGCCGCAAGGCUAAAACUCAAAUGAAUUGACGGGGACCCGCACAAGCGGU
rnacentral:rRNA from 1 species